AACGAACGUUAGCGGCGCGCUUAACACAUGCAAGUCGAACGAGAAAGGGCUUCGGCCCCGGUACAGUGGCGCACGGGUGAGUAACACGUGGAUAACCUUCCCUAAAGUGGGGGAUAACAUUCCGAAAGGAGUGCUAAUACCGCAUAAGACCACGACUUCUACGGAAGUUGAGGUCAAAGCCGGCCUCUUCAUGAAAGCUGGCGCUAUGGGAUGGGUCCGCGGCCCAUCAGCUAGUUGGUAGGGUAAUGGCCUACCAAGGCGAAGACGGGUAGCUGGUCUUAGAGGAUGAUCAGCCACACUGGAACUGAGACACGGUCCAGACUCCUACGGGAGGCAGCAGUGGGGAAUCUUGCGCAAUGGACGAAAGUCUGACGCAGCGACGCCGCGUGAGUGAUGAAGGCCUUCGGGUUGUAAAGCUCUGUGGGGAGAGACGAAUAAGGUGCAGUUAAUAUCUGCAUCGAUGACGGUACCUCCUUAGCAAGCACCGGCUAACUCUGUG
rnacentral:rRNA from 1 species